rnacentral:rRNA from 1 species
UACGUAGGGUGCGAGCGUUAAUCGGAAUUACUGGGCGUAAAGCGUGCGCAGGCGGUGGCUCAAGCCAGGCGUGAAAUCCCCGGGCUUAACCUGGGAAUGGCGUUUGGGACUGGAUCGCUAGAGUGUGGCAGAGGGAGGUGGAAUUCCACGUGUAGCAGUGAAAUGCGUAGAGAUGUGGAGGAACACCGAUGGCGAAGGCAGCCUCCUGGGCCAGCACUGACGCUCAUGCACGAAAGCGUGGGGAGCAAACAGG